rnacentral:rRNA from 1 species
CGUGAGGAACCUGCCUUUCAGAGGGGGACAACAGCUGGAAACGGCUGCUAAUACCGCAUAACACAUAGGUGUCGCAUGGCAUUUAUGUCAAAGAUUUAUCGCUGAGAGAUGGCCUCGCGUCUGAUUAGCUAGUUGGUAGGGUAACGGCCUACCAAGGCGACGAUCAGUAGCCGGACUGAGAGGUUGGCCGGCCACAUUGGGACUGAGAUACGGCCCAGACUCCUACGGAAGGCAGCAG